rnacentral:rRNA from 1 species
AACGAACGCUGACGGCGGGGCUUAGGCAUGCAAGUUGAGCGAGAAAGCCGCAAGGUGAGUAAAGCAGCGUAAGGGUGAGUAAUAGGUAGCCAACGUACCCUUUGGACGCGAAUAGCCCGUCGAAAGAUGGGGUAAUGCGCGAUGAGACCACGGCCUGUUCGCAGGCAGGGGUCAAAGGUCGGGGAUCCUUCGGGACCUGGCGGCCAAGGGAGCGGGCGACCUCCGAUUAGCUAGUUGGCGGGGUAACGGCCCACCAAGGCGAUGAUCGGUAACCGGGCUGAGAGGCUGUCCGGUCACACUGGCACUGAGACACUGGCCAGACUCCUACGGGAGGCUGCAGUCGCGAAUUUUUCACAAUGGGCGCAAGCCUGAUGAAGCCACGCCGUGUGCAGGAUGAAGGCCCUCUGGGUUGUAAACUGCUGUCAGGGAAGGGGAAACGCUGGGUGUUAACAGCAUCUGGUUUGACUGCUUUCCAAAGGAAGCCCCGGCAAAACAUGUG